rnacentral:rRNA from 1 species
UACGAAGGGGGCUAGCGUUGCUCGGAAUCACUGGGCGUAAAGCGCACGUAGGCGGGUCUUUAAGUCGGGGGGGAAAUCCUGGAGCUCAACUCCAGAACUGCCUUCGAUACUGAGGAUCUCGAGUCCGGGAGAGGUGAGUGGAACUCCGAGUGUAGAGGUGAAAUUCGUAGAUAUUCGGAAGAACACCAGUGGCGAAGGCGGCUCACUGGCCCGGUACUGACGCUGAGGUGCGAAAGCGUGGGGAGCAAACAGG